GCGCCCGUAGCUCAAUUGGAUAGAGCAUCUGACUUCGGAUCAGAGGGUUAGGAGUUCGAGUCUUCUCGGGCGCGCCA
rnacentral:tRNA from 4 species